rnacentral:lncRNA from 1 species
UCAUCCAGUGUCACCCAUUGUCCCUUCAGUGUCACCCACUGUCACCCAUUGUCCCCUUAGUGUCACCCCUUGUCACCCAUUGUCCCCUUUGUCACCCGUUGUCACCCACUGUCACCUAAUGUCCCUUAGUGUCACCCAAUGUC